rnacentral:rRNA from 1 species
UACGUAGGGUGCGAGCGUUGUCCGGAAUUAUUGGGCGUAAAGAGCUCGUAGGCGGCUUGUCGCGUCGGAUGUGAAAGCCCGGGGCUUAACUCCGGGUCUGCAUUCGAUACGGGCAGGCUAGAGUUCGGUAGGGGAGAUCGGAAUUCCUGGUGUAGCGGUGAAAUGCGCAGAUAUCAGGAGGAACACCGGUAGCGAAGGCGGAUCUCUGGGCCGAUACUGACGCUGAGGAGCGAAAGCGUGGGGAGCGAACAGG